GAUGAACGCUGGCGGCGUGCCUAACACAUGCAAGUCGAACGAACACACGAGGAGCGCUUUCUUCUGCCGUUGGCGGCGGGCGGGUGAGUAACAAGUAGAUCACCUACUUCUAAUACUGGGGUAACUUCGGGAGACCGGAUCCACUACUAGAUAAUAUAUUCAACCGCAUGGUUCAAUAGAGAUUGACGGUUUUGGUGUCACUUUUAGCUGGAUCCGGGUCGCAUUAGCUAGUUGGUAAGGUAACGGCUUACCAAGGCAACGAUGCGUAGCCGAGCUGAGAGGAUGAUCGGCCACACUGGAACUGAGACACGGUCCAGACUCCUACGGGAGGCAGCAGUAGGGAAUAUUGGGCAAUGGGCGAAAGCCUGACGCAGCAAUGCCGUGUGAGUGAUGAAGGCCUUCGGAUCGUAAAGCUCUGUUGUUGGGGAAGAACAACUGUGUGAGAAUCUAUGGCCGUCUUGACGGUACCUAAAGAGAAAGCAACGGCUAACUACGUG
rnacentral:rRNA from 1 species